GACGAACGCUGGCGGCGUGCUUAACACAUGCAAGUCGAACGGGAAGGCCCUGCUUUUGGGGGGUGCUCGGGGGGCGAACGGGUGAGUAACACGUGAGUAACCUGCCCUUGACUUUGGUAUAACUUCAGGAAGCUUGAGGUAAUACCGGAUAGGAGCUCCUGCUUCAUGGUGGGGGUUGGAUAGUUUCGGCGGUUGGGGAUGGACUGGCGGCUUAUCAGGUUGUUGGUGGGGUAGUGGCUUACCAAGGCCUUGACGGGUAGCCGGCCUGGUAGGGUGACCGGACACAUCGGGACUGAGAUACGGCCCAGACUACUACGGGAGGCAGCAGUGGGGAAUAUUGUACAAUGGGAGGAAGCCUGAUCUAGUCACGCAGCGUGCGGGAUGACGGCAUUCGGGUUGUAAACCGCUUUCGCCUGUGACGAAGUGUGAGUGACGGUAAUGGGUAAAGAAGCACCGGCUAACUCCGUG
rnacentral:rRNA from 1 species